UACGUAGGGUGCAAGCGUUAAUCGGAAUUACUGGGCGUAAAGCGUGCGCAGGCGGUUGUGCAAGACAGAUGUGAAAUCCCCGGGCUUAACCUGGGAAUGGCAUUUGUGACUGCACGGCUAGAGUGUGUCAGAGGGGGGUAGAAUUCCACGUGUAGCAGUGAAAUGCGUAGAGAUCCGGAGGAACACCGACGGCGCAGGCAGCGUCCUGGCCGCUUGCUGACACUGAGGCACGAAAGCUGGGGGAGCAAACAGG
rnacentral:rRNA from 1 species